CCCAGCUUAUCCGAUGGCCUUCCCAAUAUGUGCCGCCGCCGGCCAGCCUCCAUCCCGCGCGCCCGCCGGCGACCCUCCAGUCCUCCACCUCGCGCGCCAGCCGGACACCCUCUACCUCACGCGCCUGCCGGCCACCCUCCAUCCUGCGCGCUCGCCGGCCGACUCCCUCCAAGCCGCACCGACGGCCUCACUUCCCGACGUGCCAGCAGUGUCCCUGCGCCUGCUCCGGCCGCCUCCCUCUACCAGCGCCGCCGUCUUCCCUCCACCCCAGCACUCGUCCUUCCUCCACCCCAGCGCCGCCGGCCUCCCUCUCACCCCCUCCGGUUCCCUCGCCCACCGCCACCACCUUCUCCCGCCCCCGCGGCCUCACCAAGAUCCACCGGGGCCUCUGUUCCCACUGCUGGUGUGACCGUCGCCCCCACUAACACCUCCAUUCGCCGCCACGGACGCAGUGGCCCCGCGUGCCACCGCCUCCUCCUUCAGGCCAGUUGGUUCCGUCGGCCUCCUCGCCGCAUCCGUCCAAUUUCGGCGGGACCUCGGCCGGCCAGACACGCUCCCUCGUACUGUCGUGCGUCCUUCAUCAAAUGGCCGGACCCGGUGUCCUCCUCCAAUAUGUGCAGAGAAGCUGCAGAACAAAAAGGAAAGAAAAACCAUGUUUUAUAUUGUUGUUAUUUUGUUGCCCUCAACGGUAGUCUGUGGCACUUGGCAAUUUUUCAACGAGACGACAAUGCGGUUAAAUAGCAGCAGAGAAUUGUCUCGCUCUCUGCGCCUCGUUGAAAAAAUCGAGCAUCGGCAUCCUUCAGCAGUGAGAAGCCGUGGGGGUCAAGUACGUCCAACUCGGCAGUCCAACUCGAUAGUCCAACUCGGCGAGAUUCACUUUAUCGUCGCCCCAUGUUAACUAGCAAGACCACCACGCUUCUCCGCCGGCACUAUCAGGUACUCACCCCUGGUAACGUCUCUUGCUUACUAAUUCAUUUCGCCCCUGUUUCAGUUAGAGUUAUCUUGUAAGAAGAAAAAUGAACACCGAGAAAAAUAGGUAUUAAGCCAAGUAUAUAAUACUAAUGUCCUUCAGGUGCUUGCUUUAAUGCCUAAACAAAGAUUUAUUUAGUUCACUUCUAAAUUUAAUUUUAGUUCAGUUCAUCGUCAGCAGUAGUCCAAGUCCUCAACCCCUUGAUGUCUCGUUCUCGAGCAGGAUGGCAUUGGAGACAACAACCAACGGUCCUCCUCUGCCUCUGCUCGCCCUGCCUUCAUCACUGGGGGUGCAAAAACAGGAAUUCUCAUUCCGAAAAACCUACAAGAAAACAUCAAUUUAUAUUGAUAAUUGUUCUAGUCCUUAUGUUACAACAGUACAAUGAGAAAAAACUCAUCAGUUCAAAAAGCAUGGACAUGCUAAUGUUGUAGUGAUCUCACCAUUAAUCCUCAAAAUUCAAUACCUAUUGCCAAAUCAUCCAAUGAAUAUAGGUAGUGCAGUAUCUGUUACUGAGUUAGUGUGAUGAACCGUCACCACCAAAUAAUUAGUGGACUGACCAACCUCCGUUAGGCGCCACGCCCCCGCCUCCCGCCUCCAGCGAUGCGCCACGCCCUCGCCUCCCACGUCCGGCGAUGGACCAUGGAUCUGCCUCCGCAGGGGCGACCACCGGUGGGAAAGCGGAGCAUCGGCAACAACCACCUCCGCCCUCCUGCUCCUCCAUGCAGCGCGGCGACCACCUUUGUCGUCAUGAAUUCCCAGCUGCAUGCAGUUAAUUGUCCGUCCACACUGCCUCUCCUCCCAAGUCCACACUAGUUUUAUCACAAAAAGCAAAGGAUGUCUAUUUUAUUUCCUAACACAAAGUAGGUGUUCUCAGUUCAGUACGUGAGCUAUCUCAAGUUCUUGGUAAACAUAUAAAACAGUACGGUGUUUGUGCAAAAAAAUUAGACUGUUUUCUAAUUAUACAACAGUUUACUAUAUGGUAGAAUUGUAGUUGUUCAGUAAAAAGGUUCACUACCCCAACUAGGGGAUUUUCAAUCCGUUUUUUCUUUCUUUUCCAACUGAAAGUUGUAGCAAAUGUGAACUGAAGCUGUUGUGGAGCAAAUUUGGAAUUGUUUCCUACUUUUUCCACUGCUAUCUUGCCACCUAGAUUAAUGCUACUACUACUCCUACUUAUCGUGUUGCUAAACCUCGUGUUCUGGACAAUUUGUGGGAAAGUGUGGAGGCGCAAGUUGCUCCGCGACUGAGGAAGGCGCACCCCGGUGCUUGCCAUGGCUGAAGACGGCCUCCAACCGCCGGGCCCAAAGUAGCCAGCCUUUGUUCGCAUGCGUGUCUCAUUCCUGCUUCACCUAGGUAUGCGCCACCACCCGCCGUGCUCGAUGCUCCCUACUCCCAUAGCCAUCCUCAGUUCAACCCCAUGGCAUUGAGAUGGUCGAGUUAGUCGCGAGCAGCAGUCCACCGUACCUAGAAACUAGAUUUUUAUCUGCAACAUCAGUUCACCGUACCUAGAACAAUCAGUUCGAUCCAUCUCCUGAUUCUGAAAAUAUGAAUUGUGUUUACUGCCAAAUUGAUGCUCUAUAGUUCACUAUGUAUAUAUGUCACCAAUUCAAAAAAGACGUACAGAAAAAGUUCAAUUGUAUGUGUUAAAACCCAAUUUGGUUUUAUACUAUAUGUCAGAUUAUUACAAAAUACAAUAAAAGAUUUUUCUCAUGUGGGUGUAAGCUCUAACCAUAUGGCAACAAAGAUAGAAUGAGUAUGAAGUAUUGUUGUUUCCGUAUUGUUAAGUUCAGUAUGUAUUCCGUUUUCAGUACGUAAACAAACACACAUGAUCUUUAUAAGAGCAAAACUUACAAAAUGGAAAUCUAUAAGUUCAACUACAUAUUUUACAACAAUUGAAAAUACAAACAAUUACAUCAGUUCAGUGACAGAAAAACAUCAGUUCGAAAAGUUUUCGACUCUUGAACUGCUAGCUGAAAGAUACGAUAUGUGUACUGUUGAUAAUCUCAAACAUGUUUUACUCAACUUUAGAAAACAUGUAAUAUUGUUGUGCUGCUUUGCAAUGUCUCCAGUAGUCUUACUUCUCCAUGACGACAAGAACAACAGCGCCUGAUGGAUAAUUUGACAAAGAAUUUUGAGUCGAACAAUGGCAAAAAUUCAGAGGAGACAAUGGGAGAAGUUCAAAGAAAAUUCGGACUUGUAUAGUAACUAAGGAGGAAGCAGCAGCGCCGCUCGGUCUAGGAAUCCAGGUAGCUGUCUCCCCCUGCACCCUUCCCAUGGAUCCCUAGAUAAGUUCAAAUAUCUUAGAACAGAUAAUUCAACUUGUUUCAACGGCAUCUAAUGCAGAUGGCUUGCAUUUUGUGCUCCAUGUGUGUUUGUUCUUAUUCCUAAAAGAAAGAAAAAAAUGUAUUGCAUUUGAUAGUUCAUCCGAAUAUAUAUCAACAACAGUGCAAUGGCAGAAAAAACAUCAGUUCAAAAUGUAUGUGCAGGAGGUUUGGGAGCCAAAAGGCUGAUAUUUUGUUGUGUUUAAAUUUUUCGGGUGCAUGAUUGAGCAAGAUAUAAAUAAAAAAUGAUGUAUGAUAUAUAUUCUUUUCUUGUAUGAGGUUCAAAUAUUGUCGUGGAGCAUGUUCAAGAGUUUAGCUUGUGUGAGUCGUCCAUCGUCUUCCCACAUCUAGCAUCAGAGUCUCUCCCCCCCUUGUCGCGCACACAGUCCAGGCUGCCGAGCACCUCCUCAGGUGAGAGGGCGGUGAGGCCCUACCAUCUCCCGGUGAUGGCUUGUCGGCACCCCCUGCAGAUUCACCUCUCACCAUGGGACAGAGUCUUCAUGUAUGAACUAGAUCGUCGCCUACAAGCUCUGCUCCAGUUCAUAGCACUGGCUCUGGCAGCCACAACGCCCCAUCUUCCCUGGCUCCCACACCACCGCGCCAUCUCCUCCCGGUGGGGCUCCGCCACUGGAGCGACCUGGCCGUUCACAGCCACCACGUCUGUCUAUUCACCUGUACAAAGAUGUCCAUGCCGAGAUCAUCUUACAUGUCAAGCACCAAACCGACACCCCUGGUACCCACCGCGACUUGUGCUGCUGUUGCUAGUGUGGAUGUGUACCAAGUUCAACUACCAGUCUACUCCGAGUUCAGGUAUAUUGUCGUGGACGACCAAGUUCAGGGAUGCCUCUGUCCCUAAGGCAAGUUGUAAUAGUCCUAUUUAGUACUACUUGUUAGCGUUUUUUAACUCUCUUCAUUUCUUUAUAAUAUGUUAGUUCAGUUUUGCUAAUUCCUACAAUUCUCUAGUUAGAAAACCAGUGGAUCAUUUUUUAGUUCCUGUGGUCUACAAAAUUAUUUGACCACCGUCAUUGGCUGUUCUUCUUCGACAUUCCUAAAGUUCAGGUUUUGUCGUCUCAUCCUUGUAUCUCUAUGUAUGUUCAAUCGUUGCUCGCUUAAGAGUUCAAAAACGAAGAUUUCGAGAAGUGAUCUCUAAAUAUUUUCUUGAUCACUAAACAUGACCAAUUGUAGCAUGUUUCCUGAAAUAUUUUAGCAUGUUUUAUGUUUUCAUCGACAAAGUUCACACACUACUGUCUCGGACGUUCAAACAUUUGUUUCCCUGAUGUUCAAAUAUUAUCGUCUAGGAAUACAUGCUGUAACUUCGAGAGAAAAGUUCAUGUUGAUUACUGCCGUCAAGUGUAAAAGUUCGCCAAUAUACAAUCUAUAAUUUCAAUAUCCAGUACAUUAGUUUAGUAGUUGGUACUAACUACUCCAGUGUUUUAUUUGAUGUACCUGUGGUGUCUAGUUUCUUCUGUCAGGUCAAUUUCUAAAUUUCAUCCAGUUCAAUUCAUAUUGUAGCUCCAAUUUAGUCCACGUGGUUAAUUGUUGGAGGGUGUGUGUGUGUGCAGGGUACUAUGAUAUUGAGUAGGCGUGGAGUGUAUCACUCCAGCACGCUAAGCUCCAGUGCAUGUCAACAUCUUCUCCACUGUAAUGGAAGCUCCUCCGUUCGAGUUGAGCACUAGUCAUCAUCCAAGUUGAGCACUAGGUGCCGUCCAAGUUCAAAGAGGGUUGUAUGCAAGUACAUAAGUUUGUUUUAGUGAGAAAAAUGCGGGGUUUUGACAAUAUUCUGUAUAAUUCAUUUAUUCAACCUUAGAACUUGGCGAUAUUCGGCCUAUUUUCUAUGAUGAAGGCACACAUGAAGUCCUGUGCAAUGGCUAUCCCCCUAG